rnacentral:rRNA from 1 species
UACAGAGGUCUCAAGCGUUGUUCGGAUUCAUUGGGCGUAAAGGGUGCGUAGGCGGCGCGGUAAGUCGGGUGUGAAAUCUUGGAGCUUAACUCCGAAACUGCAUUCGAUACUGCCGUGCUUGAGGACUGGAGAGGAGACUGGAAUUUACGGUGUAGCGGUGAAAUGCGUAGAUAUGACAUAGAACAUCGAUUGCGAAGGCAGCUCGCUACACUAUUAUUGACACUGAGGCACGAAAGCGUGGGGAUCAAACAGG